UACGAAGGGUGCAAACGUUGCUCGGAAUUAUUGGGCGUAAAGCGCACGUAGGCGGCUCUGUAAGUCGGAUGUGAAAUCCCUCGGCUCAACCAAGGAAGUGCAUUCGAAACUGCGGAGCUUGAGUAGUUAAGAGGAUCGCGGAAUUCCCGGUGUAGAGGUGAAAUUCGUAGAUAUCAAGUGGAACACCAGUGGCGAAGGCGAGUCUCUGGACAUUUCCUGACGCUGAGGCACGAAAGCCAGGGGAGCAAACGGG
rnacentral:rRNA from 1 species